GACGAACGCUGGCGGCGUGCCUAAUACAUGCAAGUAGAACGCUGAAGGAGGAGCUUGCUCUUCUGGAUGAGUUGCGAACGGGUGAGUAACGCGUAGGUAACCUGCCUGGUAGCGGGGGAUAACUAUUGGAAACGAUAGCUAAUACCGCAUAACAGUAGAUGUUGCAUGACAUUUACUUAAAAGGUGCAAUUGCAUCACUACCAGAUGGACCUGCGUUGUAUUAGCUAGAUGGUGGGGUAACGGCUCACCAAGGCGACGAUACAUAGCCGACCUGAGAGGGUGAUCGGCCACACUGGGACUGAGACACGGCCCAGACUCCUACGGGAGGCAGCAGUAGGGAAUCUUCGGCAAUGGACGGAAGUCUGACCGAGCAACGCCGCGUGAGUGAAGAAGGUUGUCGGAUCGUAAAGCUCUGUUGUAAGAGAAGAACGAGUGUGAGAGUGGAAAGUUCACACUGUGACGGUAUCUUACCAGAAAGGGACGGCUAACUACGUG
rnacentral:rRNA from 1 species